UUGGGUAGUACUGGUGCAGGAUGGGCCCGCGGCCUAUCACUUGUUGGUGGGGUAAUGGCCUACCAAGGCGACGACGGGUAGCCGGCCUGAGAGGGCGACCGGCCACACUGGGACUGAGACACGGCCCAAACUCCUACGGGAGGCAGCAGUGGGGAAUAUUGCACAAUGGGCGAAAGCCUGAUGCAGCGACGCCGCGUGAGGGAUGACGGCCUUCGGGUUGUAAACCUCUUUCAGCAGGGACGAAGCGAGAGUGACGGUACA
rnacentral:rRNA from 1 species